GUGCAGCGCCGCGGUAAUACGGAGGGUGCAAGCGUUGUCCGGAAUCACUGGGCGUAAAGGGUGUGCAGGUGGGGCAGCAAGUCAGAGGUGAAAGCCCGCGGCUUAACCGCGGACGUGCCUUUGAAACUGCUGCUCUUGAGUCCCGGAGAGGUUGCCGGAAUUCGUGGUGUAGCGGUGAAAUGCGUAGAUAUCACGAGGAACACCAGAGGCGAAAGCGGGCAACUGGACGGGUACUGACACUGAGGCACGAAAGCGUGGGGAGCAAACAGGAUUAGAUACCCCAGUAGUCC
rnacentral:rRNA from 1 species